CAGUCAUCAAACAGGUCUCAACCGAAGCCAUCUUGGCAGCCCAAAAGGCUCCCGAGGUUGCUCGUGGCGUGGCUUCCGAAGUCCACCGUGCUGGAGUGGUGAACACCGCCUCAGGAUUAGCAAAAUCAGUGUACACCAAGUAUGAACCCACAGCAAAAGAGCUUUAUGCGAAAUAUGAACCCAAAGCUGAACAAUUUGCGGUUUCAGCUUGGCGUAAACUCAACAUGCUCCCGCUCUUCCCUCAAGUUGCCUCGG
rnacentral:lncRNA from 1 species